UUGCCAGCCCGCUCAGAACUUAAGGAAUUGACGGGGCCCGCACAAGCGGUGGAGCAUGUGGUUUAAUUCGAUGAUACGCGAGGAACCUUACCUGGGCUCAAAUGUAUGUUGACGUAUUCUGAAAGGGAUACUUCUUCGGACAAUAUACAAGGUGCUGCAUGGUUGUCGUCAGCUCGUGCCGUGAGGUGUCGGGUUAAGUCCCAUAACGAGCGCAACCCCUAUCAUUAGUUGCCAUCAGGUCAAGCUGGGGACUCUAAUGAAACUGCCUACGCAAGUAGUGAGGAAGGUGGGGAUGACGUCAAAUCAGCACGGCCCUUACGUCCAGGGCUACACACGUGCUACAAUGGCCGGUACAAAGGGCAGCUACCUGGUGACAGGAUGCUAAUCUCAAAAGCCGGCCUCAGUUCGGAUUGGAGGCUGCAACUCGCCUCCAUGAAGUCGGAAUCGCUAGUAACCGCAGAUCAGCUACGUUGCGGUGAAUACGUUCCCGGGCCUU
rnacentral:rRNA from 1 species